GCUACGGUGGGCAGCAGUGGGGGAUAUUGGACAAUGGGGGAAACCCUGAUCCAGCGACGCCGCGUGAGUGAAGCAGUAUUUCGGUAUGUAAAGCUCUAUCAGCAGGGAAGAAAGAAAUGACGGUACAUGAGUAAGAAGCCCCGGCUAACUACGUGCCAGCAGCCGCGGUAAUACGUAGGGGGCAAGCGUUAUCCGGAAUUACUGGGUGUAAAGGGAGCGUAGACGGUAAUGCAAGUCUGGAGUGAAAGGCGGUGGCCCAACCCCCGGACUGCUCUGGAAACUGUGUAACUGGAGUGCAGGAGAGGCAGGCGGAAUUCCUAGUGUAGCGGGGAAAUGCGUAGAUAUUAGGAGGAACACCAGUGGCGAAGGCGGCCUGCUGGACUGUAACUGACGUUGAGGCUCGAAAGCGUGGGGAGCAAACAGGAUUAGAUACCCUGGUAGUC
rnacentral:rRNA from 1 species